rnacentral:lncRNA from 1 species
CCCAGAGCAAAUUAUACACUUGAUUAGGAAAAAAAACUUUAAUUACUCUAUAGUAAAAUAAGUAAUUUGUGACAUAUAUAGAUAGGAACUGUGUACAUGAAAACCAACCUUGGAGAUCAUAAAGCUCUAGCUAGGGCAUGAGUGGGAACAUAGAAACCCCAACUAACAUUUUAUUCAUAUUUUUUAUACAUAAUUUUCAUCCACUUAUAUUGUUUAUUUAUUAAUGUAGAUGGAAACAUGAAUGUUUGCAUUCGAUUAUAACUAAUGGUAUUUAAUGGUGAUCUGAGCUUUCUUAUGGGUGACCACCGCCCCCUCCGCCAUGACCACCACCACCUUUACCCCACCCGCCAUGAUGACCACCUUUACCCCAUCCGCCAUGAUGACCACCUUUACCCCACCCACCAUGACCACCUUUACCCCAUCCGCCGUGACCACCGUCCCAUCCGCCGUGACCACCGCCCCAUCCACCAUGUCCACCGCCAUGGCCGCCACCUCCUCCAUGCCAUCUGCCGUGACCUUUUAAAUGUUUAUCUACUUGAGAUGGAUCCGCUGCAUGAACAAAAAUGUAACCAAUUAGUACAAAGGAAAAACGUGAAAAACAUUACAUUAAAAAGAGCGUUUGGCAUAUCGUACAUAAUAUAGUCCCUCCAUUCCAAAAUUUAAAUGAAAGUAAAUUUAGUAGUGGAGUCUAUAUGUAAGAACUGAUAGUAAAUUUAUGAUUAUAUCAAGAAUAUUUUUUAAAAUAAUUUUUUUAGUUAAAAAUCAUCGUUUUAAAAAUAUAUUAUUAAUUUUGAAACGGAUAGAUAUUUUAAAACAUACAGGCAUAUUUAGGUUCAGACAUACAGAAUUUUUAUCCAUAACAAUGUGAGAGGGCCCAAUCUAAAACAUUUAGAGCUUAAUGUUUGAAAGUUGAAACGUUUAAUUCUCACAAUAAGAGAAGAAUGAAAAGGGAAAAAAAAAACUGAAAUCAAAAGAAGAAGAUGAUUUAUGUGUGUGUGUAUGUUUGUAUGUAUGCAUACUUACUCUUCUUUUCAUCAUGAGACGUCUCAGCAUUGACAAUCAAAGCGAUGAUAAAAACAGCUACAAGCAGAAGAAACGGGAAUUUAAAAGCCCUAAAUUUCAUUUUUCUUGGACAGAAAUUCCUAUAUAAAUAUAUGAAUCUGAUUUGAAGAAAUUAAUUAAGAUUUGAAGAAAUAUGAAAUUACUAGCUUCGAUUCAUAUGCUCCUCUUAUAUAUA